UACGUAGGGGGCAAGCGUUGUCCGGAAUCAUUGGGCGUAAAGAGCGUGUAGGCGGCCCGAUAAGGCCGCUGUGAAAGUCCAGGGCUCAACCCUGGGAUGCCGGUGGAUACUGUCGGGCUCGAGUCCGGAAGAGGAGUGUGGAAUUCCUGGUGUAGCGGUGAAAUGCGCAGAUAUCAGGAGGAACACCGGUGGCGAAGGCGGUUUCCUGGCCGAGUACUGACGCUGAGGCACGAAAGCGUGGGGAGCGAACGGG
rnacentral:rRNA from 1 species